AUACGGAGGAUCCGAGCGUUAUCCGGAUUUAUUGGGUUUAAAGGGAGCGUAGAUGGAUGUUUAAGUCAGUUGUGAAAGUUUGCGGCUCAACCGUAAAAUUGCAGUUGAUACUGGAUAUCUUGAGUGCAGUUGAGGCAGGCGGAAUUCGUGGUGUAGCGGUGAAAUGCUUAGAUAUAACGAAGAACUCCGAUUGCGAAGGCAGCCUGCUAAGCUGCAACUGACAUUGAGGCUCGAAAGUGUGGGUAUCAAACAGGAUUAGAUACCCUGGUAGUCCACACGGUAAACGAUGAAUACUCGCUGUUUGCGAUAUACGGCAAGCGGCCAAGCGAAAGCGUUAAGUAUUCCACCUGGGGAGUACGCCGGCAACGGUGAGACUCAAAGGAAUUGACGGGG
rnacentral:rRNA from 1 species